GAUGAACGCUGGCGGCGUGCCUAAUACAUGCAAGUCGAGCGAACAGACGAGGAGCUUGCUCCUCUGACGUUAGCGGCGGACGGGUGAGUAACACGUGGAUAACCUACCUAUAAGACUGGGAUAACUUCGGGAAACCGGCGCUAAUACCGGAUAAUAUAUUGAACCGCAUGGUUCAAUAGUGAAAGACGGUUUUGCUGUCACUUAUAGAUGGAUCCGCGCCGCAUUGGCUAGUUGGUAAGGUAACGGCUUACCAAGGCGACGAGGCGUAGCCGACCUGAGAGGGUGAUCGGCCACACUGGAACUGAGACACGGUCCAGACUCCUACGGGAGGCACCAGUAGGGAAUCUUCCGCAAUGGGCGAAAGCCUGACGGAGCAGCGCCGCGUGAGUGAUGAAGGUCUUCGGAUCGUAAAGCUCUGUUAUUAGGGAAGAACAGAUGUGUAAGUAACUAUGCACGUCUUGACGGUACCUAGUCAGAAAGCCACGGCUAACUACGUG
rnacentral:rRNA from 1 species